GACGAAGGGGGCUGGCGUUGUUCGGAAUUACUGGGCGUAAAGCGCGUGUAGGCGGUUGUUCAAGUCAGGUGUGAAAGCCUUGAGCUCAACUCAAGAAAUGCACUUGAUACUGGAUGACUAGAGGACCGGAGAGGAUAGUGGAAUUCCCAGUGUAGUGGUGAAAUACGUAGAGAUUGGGAAGAACACCAGUGGCGAAGGCGGCUAUCUGGACGGUUUCUGACGCUAAGACGCGAAAGCGUGGGGAGCAAACAGG
rnacentral:rRNA from 1 species